ACUCCUACGGGAGGCAGCAGUGGGAAUAUUGCACAAUGGGGGAAAGCCCAUCGAUGCAGCCAUGCCGCGUGUGUGAAGAAGGCCUUCGGGUUGUAAAGACACUUUCAGUAGGGAGGAAGGUAGUGUAGUUAACACCUGCAUUAUUUGACGUUACCUACAGAAGAAGCACCGGCUAACUCCGUGCCAGCAGCCGCGGUAAUACGGAGGGUGCGAGCGUUAAUCGGAAUUACUGGGCGUAAAGCGCAUGCAGGCGGCCUGUUAAGUCAGAUGUGAAAGCCCGGGGCUUAACCUCGGAAUUGCAUUUGAAACUGGCAGGCUAGAGUCUUGUAGAGGGGGUGAGAAUUGAUCAGGUGUAGCGG
rnacentral:rRNA from 1 species